CUUCACCGAACCCAGCCAGAGGGGCCGGUCCCGGUCCUGGCCGUAGGUGGCGAGCAACGCCUGGGCCUC
rnacentral:antisense_RNA from 1 species